rnacentral:rRNA from 1 species
GAUGAACGCUAGCGGGAGGCCUAACACAUGCAAGCUGAGCGGUAUUUCUUCUUCGGAAGAGAGAGAGCGGCGUACGGGGGCGGAACACGUGUGCAACCUGCCUUUAUCUAGAGGAUAGCCUUUCGAAAGGAAGAUUAAUACUCUAUAAUAUAUUAAUUGGCAUCAAUUGAUAUUGAAAACUCCGGUGGAUAGAGAUGGGCACGCGCAAGAUUAGCUAGUUGGUGAGGUAACGGCUCACCAAGGAAAUGAUCCUUAGGGGGCCUGAGAGGGUGCCCCCCCACACAGGUACUUGGACACGGACCAGACGCCUACGGGAGGCAGCAGUGAUGAAAAUUGGUCGAUGGGUGCAAGUCUGAACCAGCCAUCCCGCGUGAAGGACGACUGCCCUUUGGGUUGUAAACUUCUUGUGUAUAGGGAUAAACCUACCCUCGUGAGGGUAGCUGAAGGUACUAUACGAAUAAGCACCGGCUAACUCCGUGCCAGCAGCCGCCGUAAGAC